CUUAGGUUGCGAAAGCUCGAUAUUUGUGUGUGUGUGUGUGUGUGUGUGUGUGUGUUUAUGUGUUUUUUAUUGUCUCCUAUCAACUUACCAACGCCUUCGUUUGGUAAGUUACACCAUCUUGGUGUUUUAUAUAUAAUUCACGCAGCUGUGUUUGCAAGAUGAUGGAAUGUAUGACUCAUGCGUGGCUGGUAUGGUGGCUUGUAAUUUACUAACCACUGCACAAUGUGGAUUUAAAGCGCACAAUUUUGCGGUUGACCAUCUCGUCACUUUGUCCAUCCGUGUCAUGAAUGGUUUUCUGUGGAAAUCCCAGGCUGUGGGCGUUUUUCCAUUUGGAGAAAGCUUAAGACACCUGCUGAAGGACUGAUAUCCUCCAUACUCUCUACAUGUGGGGCUUCUGUGGCUGCCUGCCCCAUUUUCUUCAGGAAUUUUUGAAAAGACCGAGUUUUCAAAGUAAGUAUGGGUUCUGCCUUGUUGGGCACCUUUAUCCAGCAAAAUGGUGUGCCUCAGGGUUCCGUACUGAGCAUCAUCAUCUUUGCUAUCGCCAUUAACCCUAUAAUGGCCUGUCUCCCACCGGGCAUCAUCUCCGGCUCCCUUUUCGUUGAUGACUUUGCUAUCUAUUGCAGCUCUUCACAGACUUGUCUCAUUGAGCAGCAUCUUCAGCAGUGUCUUGCUAGUCUUUACUUAUGGAACAUCGACAAUGGCUUUCGUUUUUCCACUGACAAAAUCAGUGCAAUUGGUUUCUCCCAUCAUCUCUACAUCUUGAGCCUGUUGCUCAUCAAAACUACGAAAUUCCUUGGGCUCCUGUUCGAUAGGAAAAACUCUUGGUUCUCCCACAUGUCUUACCUGACAGCCAACUGUACGUGGUCCCUCAAUGUCCUACAUGUCCUCAAUGUUACUUUCUGGGUGCUGAUCAAACCAUCCUCUCCUUUUGUACCGGUCCCUUGUCCAUUCAAAAAUAAACUGUGCAUGCUUUGUUGGUGCAUCUGCCCAUCCAUCCCUCCUACACUGUCUUAAUACUGUUCACUGUCGUGGCCUCCAUUUGGCCACUGUCAUCUUUUAAAUUAGCCCAGUUGGGAGUCUGUAUGCAGAAGCUGUCGAACUUUCAGUUGAGAGUCUGUAUGCAGAAGCUGCCGAACUACUAUUGUCCUGCCGCCAUGACUUUCGCCUCAGUAGGUGCGCGUGCCGUUUGUCUGCCAUGCAUGAUCACCUAUCAUAUGCCUCCUUCUUCAAUGACUCCUUGAUCGCCAGUACGGGCGCGUCCCUGACAGGGAAUAAUGCUAAAACUUGUCUUGGAAAUCAUGGAAAUAGCAGGGAAUUUCACGUGGGGAAACUUGUGGCAACCGUGAUUUGGCUGGCAUGCAGAACUCUGCCCGUAGUGAGAGACUUGAAGAGCUGCCCGUUUGGUAAGUUUGUAACAGUAAUAAUAUUAGAUACUUUGUUGUAAGGUAUUAGUCUAGAUAGUUACCCUUGGUUGACAUGGGGGCAUUUAAAUGUGGGAUAAGCUAUUUGGUUCCUCUCCAGCAGGUGGCGUGUGGCGAGUUGUGCACCGUGGCUCUUAGGAAUUCCUAAUCAAAGUUGGACAACUUGAAAGGAGAGCAUGGUUGUGGGAUUUAGAGCCAGCCAUGAGGAAACGAUUACAAUGCUGAUUUUUGCACUAUUAGAUGUAAAGGGAGAAAGUAUGAGCCUUCUUGAAGAUGAUGAUACUGAACAAGUAAAUGUGUCAUCAGGAAGCCAAAGUUGGUUAUUAAGAGGAAUUGCUAAAUGCGACAUUUGCCCAGUAUGACCAUGGAUUUAUUUGACAGUAUGAGGGAUGUAUGUGAACAUAGUUCUAUAGGAAUAUUUGACUUGAGACAUGAUAAAUUUCUUGCGAGUGCUACAAGAAUGAUAGGUAUGGCUGAGGAGAGUGGUGGUUGUGCCUGUCACGGACUGCUGCAAGGAAGAAAUUUUUCUCUUUCUAAUUGCUAUGCUCAUAUGAUGUAACGAGUUUUAUCACUAAAGGCCUCAAGAAAUCUAAUUUUCGAGAUGGGAUAAAAGCAUUGAAACGUCACCGAACCAAGGGCAUUAGUGUAGUGGGAGACUGCCUUGAAAAAUAAAAAAAAUUUCACUGAGGUUCCUGUAUUAUGUCCUGAAAUAAUAUCUUGUGGGCGACAGGAAUAGUCCCAGUUCCAUUUUUUGUCGUGGAGUGUCAUUUAACAUGUUGAAAUCAACUGUCCAUAUUGCCUUUUAAUCAAAGCUGUAACAUUUGUAACACUGCCUUCAGUUGUUAUUGUUGAUAUUUUACUGUGUUUGGAAAUUGUACCUCCAUGCCUUAUGGAAAUAACUUCAUUAAUGUUAAUUAAGCUUUAUUUGUUAGUAAUUAAUUUUAAAUGUGUAAUUUUGUCAUUUGCUACUCUUGUUCAUUAUCAGGUUACAUGUGUGUGAAACUUUGUAGAUUACAUUAAAGAUAUGUCUGAAGAAAAGUUAAAGCAAUAAAUUUUUUUAGUAAUUGUA